AUGGAGCUUUCUGAAGGCUCAGUGACCCCCUCCGCACCAACAGCAACCCUGCUCCAGGGUCCCAGUGAACUCAUCUGCUUAGUGCUUGGAUUCAGCCCUUCAGACAUCAACAUCACCUGGCUGCUGGACAACGUCACAGAGCUGUGGAAUAACAACACCAGCACCCCCUACAGGGCACCAGGAGGAAUGUUCGGCAUCAGGAGCCACCUGAGCCUGGCACACCAGGAUUUGACACCGGGGGCUGUUUACACCUGCAGGGUGACCCACACCACCCAGACUCUGGCCCUGAACAUAUCCAAACCAGAGCUCCUUGAGGUGGAGGGUGUCUUCUUUGACGAGAACAGGUCUGAUCCCAUUCUGGCAGACACUGCAGAGGAGAACUGGAACAUGGCCUGCAUCUUCCUGGUCCUCUUCCUCAUCUCCCUCCUCUACAGCUUCACAGUCACUCUGGUCAAGACAAAAUGAUGACUUCAGGACAUUUCCUGAUGACUUCAGGACACACUAUAUGAUGGAUCCCUCGGAGUUCAACUGGAAAUGAAACCAUUUAUUUCAACCUUUUCUUAUAAAAUCACAACACGUUUCUUUAGAAAAUUGCAUAGAUUUAAUUACUUACGGUUUCCUGUAGCUGGUUUGAUGACAGGGAAGUGUUCUUGUUUUUAAUUCCCCACUAGGACAGACAAUGUGGUGGUGCGCUUACUUGCUCUCAUCUCUUGUUAAUGCGUUAGAAUUUUUGAGCAGAGAUGAUAAAAAUGUAUAUUUAACCACUUCUAAAUAAAAUAAACAGGAUUAUCCUAAAUUGAGAGAUUAAUUAAAAAUCACAUCUACAUCAUAAUCUUUCAGAAUGUACCUGUUUUCCAUAUAGAAUGACAUGUAUACAAAUUAUAUUACAACUUUUUGUGUUUUGUCUUAGUGGUUGUUCUUUAGUAAAUAGGAAACUCAACAGUGUGUUAGUCCGAGAAACAUUAUUGAGAUGGUUGGUUUAUUGUUGUUGAAAGCUUGAAAUGUACACAUUGAGAAGUGAUAUUGCAGCAACAGUUUUAAAGUGGGAAAUUGUAUCAAAUAU